rnacentral:rRNA from 1 species
CCUACGGGAGGCUGCAGUGAGGAAUAUUGGUCAAUGGACGCUAGCCUGAACCAGCCAAGUAGCGUGAAGGAUGACUGCCCUACGGGUUGUAAACUUCUUUUAUAAAGGAAUAAAGUGAGGCACGUGUGCCUUUUUGUAUGUACUUUAUGAAUAAGGAUCGGCUAACUCCGUGCCAGCAGCCGCGGUAAUACGGAGGAUCCGAGCGUUAUCCGGAUUUAUUGGGUUUAAAGGGUGCGUAGGUGGGUUGUUAAGUCAGAUGUGAAAUUUUGCUGCUCAACCGUGGAAUUGCAUUUGAUACUGGUGAACUAGAGAGCAGUUGCGGUAGGCGGAAUGUAUGGUGUAGCGGUGAAAUGCUUAGAGAUCACAAAGAACUCCGAUUGCGAAGGCAGCUUACCAAACUACCUCUGACGUUGAUGCACGAAAGCGUGGGUAGCAAACAGGAUUAGAUACCCGAGUAGUC